rnacentral:rRNA from 1 species
GUGAGGUAAUGGCUCACCAAGGCGACGACGGGUAGCCGGCCUGAGAGGGCGAUCGGCCACACUGGGACUGAGACACGGCCCAGACUCCUACGGGAGGCAGCAGUGGGGAAUAUUGCACAAUGGGCGAAAGCCUGAUGCAGCGACGCCGCGUGAGGGAUGACGGCCUUCGGGUUGUAAACCUCUUUCGGCAGGGAAGAAGCGAAAGUGACGGUACCUGCAAAAGAAGCACCGGCCAACUACGUGCCAGCAGCCGCGGUAAUACGUAGGGUGCGAGCGUUGUCCGGAAUUAUUGGGCGUAAAGAGCUCGUAGGCGGUUUGUCGCGUCUGCUGUGAAAGCCCGGGGCUCAACCCCGGGUCUGCAGUGGGUACGGGCAGACUAGAGCGCAGUAGGGGAGACUGGAAUUCCUGGUGUAGCGGUGAAAUGCGCAGAUAUCAGGAGGAACACCGAUGGCGAAGGCAGGUCUCUGGGCUGUUACUGACGCUGAGGAGCGAAAGCAUGGGGAGCGAACAGGAUUAGAUACCCUGGUAGUCCAUGCCGUAAACGUUGGGCACUAGGUGUGGGGGACAUUCCACGUUCUCCGCGCCGUAGCUAACGCAUUAAGUG